rnacentral:rRNA from 1 species
UACGUAGGGUGCGAGCGUUAAUCGGAAUUACUGGGCGUAAAGCGUGCGCAGGCGGUUUUGUAAGCCAGAUGUGAAAUCCCCGGGCUUAACCUGGGAAUGGCAUUUGGGACUGCAAGGCUCGAGUGCGGCAGAGGAGACUGGAAUUCCUGGUGUAGCAGUGAAAUGCGCAGAUAUCAGGAGGAACACCGGUGGCGAAGGCGGGUCUCUGGGCCGUAACUGACGCUGAGGAGCGAAAGCAUGGGGAGCGAACAGG